rfam:Triticum aestivum genome assembly, contig: Triticum_aestivum_CS42_TGACv1_scaffold_405276_5BL
AAUAUACUCUCUCCGCUCGGAAUUAUUUGUCUCAAAAAUGAAUAUAUCUAGAAUUAAAAUAUGUCUAAAUACAUUCAUUUCUGCGACAAGUAAUUCCGAACGGAGGGAGUACCUU